UUGGAGGGCAGUCUGGUGCAGCAGCCGCGGUAAUUCCAGCUCCAAUAGCGUAUAUUAAAGUUGUUGCAGUUAAAAAGCUCGUAGUUGAAUUUCGGGGUUAGUAGGUUGGUCGUGCCUAUGGUAUGCACUGGCUUUACUGAUUCCUCCUUCUUGAAGAACUGUAAUGUCAUUAAUUUGGUGUUGCAGGGAAACAGGACUGUUACUUUGAAAAAAUUAGAGUGUUUAAAGCAGGCUAACGCUUGAAUACAUUAGCAUGGAAUAAUGAAAUAGGACGUUUGAUCCUAUUUUGUUGGUUUCUAGGAUUGACGUAAUGAUUAAUAGGGAUAGUUGGGGGCAUUAGUAUUCAAUUGUCAGAGGUGAAAUUCUUGGAUUUAUUGAAGACUAACUACUGCGAAAGCAUUUGCCAAGGAUGUUUUCAUUAAUCAAGAACGAAAGUUAGGGGAUCGAAGACGAUCAGAUACCGUCGUAGUCUUAACCAUAAACUAUGCCGACUAGGGAUCGGAUGAUGUUAAUUUUUUAAUGACUCAUUCGGCGCCUUACGGGAAAC
rnacentral:rRNA from 1 species